rnacentral:ncRNA from 2 species
ACCGACCCCGAUCUUCUGUGAAGGGUUCGAGUGAGAGCAUAAAUCCCUUAAUGAGGAUCCAUUGGAAGGCAAGUCUGGUGCCAACAACCGCGGUAGUUCCAGCUCCAA